UAGCCGUAAACGAUACUCGCUAGGUGUCGGCCACGGUGCGACCGUUGUCGGUGCCGUAGGGAAACCGUGAAACGUGCCGCCUGGGAAGUACGGUCGCAAGGCUGAAACUUAAAGGAAUUGGCGGGGGGAGCACCACAACGGGUGGAGCCUGCGGUUUAAUUGGACUCAACGCCGGGAAGCUUACCGGGACCGACAGCAACAUGAAGGCCAAGCUGAAGACUUUGCCGGAUUAGCUGAGAGGUGGUGCAUGGCGUAGUCGUGU
rnacentral:rRNA from 1 species